CAGGACGAACGCUGGCGGCGUGCCUAACACAUGCAAGUCGAGCGAAGAUUAUAGCAAUGUAAUCUUAGCGGCGGACGGGUGAGUAACGCGUGGGCAACCUACCUCAAACUGGGGGAUAACACAGGGAAACUUGUGCUAAUACCGCAUAACAUCAUGAAAUGACAUCAUUUUAUGAUCAAAGGAGCAAUCCGGUAAGAGAUGGGCCCGCGUCCAAUUAGCUAGUUGGUGGUGUAACGGACCACCAAGGCGACGAUUGGUAGCCGAACUGAGAGGUUGAUCGGCCACAUUGGGACUGAGACACGGCCCAGACUCCUACGGGAGGCAGCAGUGGGGAAUAUUGCGCAAUGGGGAAACCCUGAACCGCAGCAACGCCGCGUGAAGGAUGAAGGUUUUCGGAUCGUAAACUUCUUUGAUGAGGGACGAAACAAAUGACGGUACCUCAAAAACAAGCCACGGCUAACUACGUGCCAGCCGCAGC
rnacentral:rRNA from 1 species